GUCCACGCCGUAAACGAUGGGUGCUAGGUGUCGCGGGCUUUGACCCCUGCGGUGCCGCAGCUAACGCAUUAAGCACCCCGCCUGGGGAGUACGGCCGCAAGGCUAAAACUCAAAGGAAUUGACGGGGCCCGCACAAGCGGUGGAGCAUGUGGUUUAAUUCGACGCAACGCGCAGAACCUUACCUGGGCUAGAAAAUGCGAGAACCUGGUUGAAAGGUCGGGGUGCUCUUCGGAGAACUCGUAGUUAGGUGCUGCAUGGCUGUCGU
rnacentral:rRNA from 1 species